UACGGAGGAUCCAAGCGUUAUCCGGAAUCAUUGGGUUUAAAGGGUCCGUAGGCGGUUUAAUAAGUCAGUGGUGAAAGCCCAUCGCUCAACGGUGGAACGGCCAUUGAUACUGCUAAACUUGAAUUAUUAGGAAGUAACUAGAAUAUGUAGUGUAGCGGUGAAAUGCUUAGAGAUUACAUGGAAUACCAAUUGCGAAGGCAGGUUACUACUAAUGGAUUGACGCUGAUGGACGAAAGCGUGGGUAGCGAACAGG
rnacentral:rRNA from 1 species